rnacentral:lncRNA from 1 species
GUCACACCGGAACAUCUCUAAUCUCUGUCAACCACUCAUCUGUUGCUACCUCUACCUAUCGUUUGAACUUUGAAAGCAAGUGACAGAUGGCCUACCAGGUGGUGAGGAAGAGCGCAGCCCUAAACACCCUGCAGUCACAGCUAGAGGAGCGUCAGGGCAGGCUGGAAGCCCUGCAGGCCUGUGUGGUGCAGCUACAGGAGGCGCGGGCUCAGCAGUCCCGGCAGCUGGAGGAACGGCAAGCGGAGAACUCGGCACAGAGAGAAGCCUACGAGACUCUGCGCGAGCAAGCUGCGCACCAGGAAGCGGCACUGCGCAGGCUCCAGGAAGAGGCACGCGACUUGCUGGAGCAACUUGUGCAGCGUAAGGCGCGCGCCGCCGCCGAGCGCAAUCUACGUAACGAGCGUAGAG